AUGGGACGGCCCGCUGGGCUGUUCCCGCCCCUAUGCCCUUUUUUGGGUUUCCGGCCAGAGGCAUGCUGGGAGCGUCACAUGCAAAUUGAGCGUGCACCCAGCGUUCCGCCCUUUCUACGCUGGGCCGGUUAUCGACCCGGCCCAGUGCGCAGGCGCGGGAAAGUUGAACUAAUAAAGUUUGUACGAGUUCAGUGGAGGAGACCGCAAGUUGAGUGGAGGAGGCGGCGGUGGGGCCCCGGACCAGGUGCCUCCAUGGCAGGCUCUGAAGAGCUGGGGCUCCGGGAAGACACGCUGAGGGUCCUAGCUGCCUUCCUUAGGCGUGGUGAGGCUGCCGGGUCUCCUGUUCCAACUCCACCUAGGCCCAGCUACUCCAGACUUCUAUGCUUUGGUGGCCCAGCGGCUGGAACAGCUGGUCCAAGAGCAGCUGAAAUCUCCGCCCAGCCCAGAAUUACAGGGUCCCCCAUCGACAGAGAAGGAAGCCAUACUGCGGAGGCUGGUGGCCCUGCUGGAGGAGGAGGCAGAAGUCAUUAACCAGAAGGUGAUGGGCAUCUGUCCCACUCCUUGGCAAGGACAGGAGUUGCGGAAUGGAGGGCAUCCUGGCUGUUUCACCCGUGGACUUGAACUUGCCAUUGGACUGAGCUCUUUCUCAGAAGCUGCUACAAGAUGA
rnacentral:sRNA from 1 species